CUACUCCACUGUCCCCAAACCCAUUAGGAUUCUUUUCCUAAAGCCAUUAUGUCAUUACGUCUCUCUGCUCUAACAAUGUCACACAACUCUAAGGGCUCCACGGUCACUGAUGACAUCAUUCCCUCUGAUGACAUCACUCCCUGCUAAGAUACUUUCAAGGAUCCUCAACACACAGUGAAGACCACCUUCCAAGCCUGGCACCCUAGGUCCCCAAGAGUACUUCAGAAGCCACGUGCCAGGCUCCAGGACACGUGGCACUCAACUGAGGUUUCAGCAGGAACAGUGUGCUUUUGGGUUAACCUGGGCUACACAGAGUUUGAAGCCAGCCUGAGUUAUCUACAGAGUUCAAGGCCUGACCCAACAGAAGGAAAGAGAAGGCAGUAAGACUUCAUCCCACACUCCGAGGAGAGCAGUUUGUCAGUGUCUGUUACUGCAAGAACUAGGAGGAAGCCAGUAGGAAUUUUCUCAUUGAUCAAAACUCCUGACUGGAGGCUUUGUUUUCCAACAGCUGCAGCAUUGACAUCCUUGUAAGCCUCGGCUGUUAUCAGUGGUGGGGAGCAGCCAGGGACUUAGGUGUAACCAAGUCAGGCUGGCUGCUGCAUGGAAGGGGUCAGCAGCUGACCCGAGUGAUGUCCUCUCAGUGCGUGGUCAUCUGGGCUGAGCAUACUGCAGGAGCAAAAGCAUCUGGACCAUUCGGGAGCGUGCGAACACUGGGGGACCUCUCUCAAGUCCAUUUCAGCCUCUACCACCUCACUGGCGCUGGGUGACAGCUGUUCGAUUCUUUUAGCCUGACUGAGUUUCACUAUUUUUAAUUUUAAUUUUAAUUCCAUUAAAAAAUCACAUAUGUG